rnacentral:rRNA from 1 species
GAGUGAGCGGGAAGAGCUCAAAUUUGAAAUCUGGUGGCCUCAGGUCAUCCGAGUUGUAAUCUAUAGAAGUGUUUUCCGUGCUGGCUCAUGUACAAGUCCCUUGGAACAGGGCGUCAUAGAGGGUGAGAAUCCCGUCCUUGACAUGAACUACCAGUGCUCUGUGAUACAUUUUCAACGAGUCGAGUUGUUUGGGAAUGCAGCUCAAAAUGGGUGGUAAAUUCCAUCUAAAGCUAAAUAUUGGCGAGAGACCGAUAGCGAACAAGUACCGUGAGGGAAAGAUGAAAAGCACUUUGGAAAGAGAGUUAAACAGUAUGUGAAAUUGUUGAAAGGGAAACGAUUGAAGUCAGUCGUGCUCUUUGGAUUCAGCCGGUUCUGCCGGUGUACUUCCUUUGAGUGGGGUCAACAUCAGUUUUGAUCGCUGGAUAAAGGCUGGAGGAACGUAGUACCCUCGGGUAAACUUAUAGCCUCCUGUCACAUACAGUGGUUGGGACUGAGGAACGCAGCACGCCUUUAUGGCCGGGAUUCGUCCACGUACGUGCUUAGGAUGUUGACAUAAUGGCUUUAAACGACCCGUCUUGA